GACUUGAUGGUGCAACGGUUAGCACGCCUGCUCUCAUUGCAAACCUUGGCCUUGAAAAGUUCUGCAGGAAAUCCUCGUUCGACCCGAGGUCGGGUCG